UUAGUCUUUUAAUUGGAGACUGGAAUGAAAGAGUUAACCGGGAGAAUUUUUUUUAAAUGAAGAAGAUGAAGUUUACCUUUUAGUAAGAAGGCUAAAAUGAUACUUUUAGACAAGAAGACCCUAUAAAACUUUAUAUUUAAUUCUUUCUAAGCUGAAGAAUUAAAUAUUCUACUGGGGCGGUAAGAAAAUAAGACAUUUUUAAAAGAAUAAAAUAUACUAGUUUUAAUCUCUAGAAAUUCUGAAAAAGAAAUAAGUUACUUUAGGGAUAACAGCUUAAUUUAUUUUGAAAGUUCAAAUUGACAAAUAAGUUUAUGACCUCGAUGUUGAAUUAAAGUUUCCUUUUUGUGUAAAA
rnacentral:rRNA from 1 species